rnacentral:rRNA from 1 species
UUAAACUGCGGAAAGCUCAUUAUAUCAGUUAUAGUUUAUUUGAUGGUAAACCCACUACAUGGAUAACCGUAGUAAUUCUAGAGCUAAUACAUGCCUUGAAGCGGUAACUUCGGAAGCCGUGGACUUAUUAGAUCAAGAGCUGACCCUUUUCGGAGGAACAAGCUGAAUCAUAGUAAUUUCGCUAAUCGCAGUGGUUUUGUGCCGGCAAUAAGUCAUUCAAAUUUCUGCCCCAUCAGCUGUGAUGUUAGUGUAGUGGACUAACAUGGCAUAAACGGGUGACGGAGGAUUAGGGUCUGAUUCCGGAGAGGGAGCCUGAGAAAUGGCUACCACUUCCAAGGAAGGCAGCAGGCGCGUAAAUUACCCAAUCCCGAUACGGGGAGGUAGUGACAAGAAAUAGCA